AGCGCCGGCGCGCCGUAUUCCCAGCGACCCGCAACCCAGGCGUGCCGCAUCCCCAGCGACCUGCAACCCCGGCGCACCACAUCCCCGGCGACCCCUAGCCCCAGCGCGCCCCAUCCCCAGUGCCUCCGAUCCCCACCCGCCACCGUCGCUCCUCCGGUCCGGCGAGACCAGCACUGCCCUCGACUCUACAACACAUAUCCGCUCCCAUCGCAUCUCAGGUCAGCUCCGCAGGCCUCCCUCCUUGUGUCGUUCCUCCCAGCCCCCUCAUCUCUUUCGAGGUGCUCCGCUCGCUGCCUCGUACUAGACCUUCCCGCUCCUCCACCCCUGUAUCGCCACUCCCUCCUGCUGUCCUCACCCACAAGCUCGGUCCCUUGAUAGAAAUUGUUGUAUCCUACCGGUGCUGCUUCUCCAACGAGGUCAUUGUGUUGCAUAUGCGCUGGAAAAGAACAUCGUCUCUGGUUUUGUUUCCCUUAACAAUCGAGACGGCAUGCUCCACUUGGCUUCAACUGCACCGCGGGCCUGCUCCACUUGGCUUCCACAGCGCCACCGGCAGACAAGCCUGGAUGCCGUCGUCCGAACUGCCGCACCACCCAGCCGCAACGCUCCUCCAGCCACCAUCCGGCGGCGCGCGGUGCUCCAAGUAUGUCCUGUGGAUGCCUCCUCCUCUUGCCUAGUCCCUGCGAAGCGCACGGCCGUCUCCCUUCUGCCCCAUCCGUCCAGGUAUGGUACUCACACCAGUUCAAGUAGUGAUGUUGCGACAAGUACAGCUCCUCCCCUGUCAAGCUUAGUGAGCCAAAAAGGAGCAUCUUGAUGGAUGAUCGCUAGCUCGCUUCAUCAUCGGCUGAAAUGCGUAUGUAUAUGACUCGUCCUAUGUUUAGCAAGUUGCUGCCAGAUGCCUAUUCAAUUCUCUACUGGUUUGAUGUCUAAAACCUUUUGUAUAGUUUGUGCUUUUGCUUUUUGGAUGCCUUUUUUUCGAAAUGAAAAUUACAGUUGAAGGAAGAUUGAGGUUUAAAGUUCACAGACAUUUUGAAUAAAAGUUUUGAUAGUGUAGUAGCAGAAAAACAUAGGGGCAGGUCUUGUAGUUUUGAACUUUUGGAUGUGUAUGUCAAUUUUCAGUCAAGUAGCUUUUCAAAUCAAAAUGAUGUACCUUUAGUAGCUAUAUUGCUCAAUUCAUGUGCAACGAUUGGAGGAGUUCGAAAAAUCAGAACUCGUCCAUUUCCAUAAAAUUCUAAGUUUCAUGUGUGUGCUGCUACAAAUCUGAAAUAUUUUUCCAACCAUACUUGUACUGAUGCAAUCACCUAAAAAAGUUGAAGAAAAAAUUGAAGAAAAAUUAUGUAAGUUUGGUGUGUGUGCUGCUACAAAUCUAAACUUCUUGUCUAGUCUACAAAUCUAAGUUCGGUGUCAACAUUGCACGUCUGCAGUUUGAUGUGAUUUGGUUGGGUAGGAAGGGAGAAUCAGUAGGGACAGUACGGGGAUGGCCAACGAUAAACCUGCUGCUGACAUUCUCUAUAGAGAUUUUAUGCCAGCAAGGUGUUUGUGUUAAAAUGUCUGAAAAGCGAAAAAAAUCACCGUUGAAUUCUAUUUUGUGCUGAGCAUUUCUCUGAACAUAAGGUGUCUUCCCCAAAUUGUUCUGGUUGACCUGAUGCUUGCAGCCCAGUAGGACUUAUUCUGAUGCUCUGGUUGACCUUAUGCUUGCAGCUGAGUGUACUUAUUCUGAUACUCUAGUUGACCUUAUGCUUGCAGCCGAGUUGGACUUCCUCCUAUUCAAAUGCUUGCAACUUUCAAUUAUGUUUUGUUCUAGAGCUACUUGCUGUAAAGUAGUAUAUGUGCUAGGAUUUCAGUACAGCUUCCAAAAUAAAAUGUGGGUCAAGUUCUCAAAUUGUUUAGAAGAAGAUAGGACAGGAAGUCUUGAAUGGAAAGCUCAUAUGAGUGUGAAUGGUUUGAGUAAAUUGUUGAAGAUUAGAUAGGAGUGAAAAAACAAAAGGUAUAUAAGUGAUGCUAAAAACUGGGAUGUAAAAUUUAACAUUCUAUUAUUUCUGUUCUUUUAUUUUCUUUUAGUUUUGUUGUCUGAAUUUGUGGAUAUAUGUGCAGGCCCCAAUAUUUAUUUCUUCAGUUCUCUUUCGCCGUCAGGUCGCACCCUUUUCCUUCUGCAGGUCACCACCUCCUGCUUCUGCAGGCCGUGCCACAUCCCCCCAUUCCCGCAGCGGACAUGCCGUUCACCGCCGGCACCAUAGUCCGUUCACUACCGACAGCCGAGGCUGUUCAACAAUGCAACGACGAGAACUAGUUUGGAAGGCCAGGAAGUUCUACUUCUGGCAUAAGCCAACGGAGCAUCGGUCGAAGGUCCUAUUUGUUCCUCCACUGCCCCGGUGCACUCACCAUCGAGCCUAUCCAUGCACAGCUCUAGUAUUGAUGAGCUUCAGGCUUGUCGUUGUUCAUGCAGAUUAAUUCUUUGUUAAUUGCUAUUGCACAUUCAGUAGAUG